CAGUCGCCGCGGUAAUACAGAGGGUGCGAGCGUUAAUCGGAUUUACUGGGCGUAAAGCGUGCGUAGGCGGCUUCUUAAGUCGGAUGUGAAAUCCCUGAGCUUAACUUAGGAAUUGCAUUCGAUACUGGGAAGCUAGAGUAUGGGAGAGGAUGGUAGAAUUCCAGGUGUAGCGGUGAAAUGCGUAGAGAUCUGGAGGAAUACCGAUGGCGAAGGCAGCCAUCUGGCCUAAUACUGACGCUGAGGUACGAAAGCAUGGGGAGCAAACAGGAUUAGAUACCCCUGUAGCCCUGUCUCUUAUACC
rnacentral:rRNA from 1 species